UACGUAGGGUGCGAGCGUUAAUCGGAAUUACUGGGCGUAAAGCGUGCGCAGGCGGUUCGCUAAGUCUGAUGUGAAAGCCCCGGGCUCAACCUGGGAACUGCAUUGGAAACUGGCGAGCUUGAGUGUGGCAGAGGGGGGUGGAAUUCCACGUGUAGCAGUGAAAUGCGUAGAGAUGUGGAGGAACACCGAUGGCGAAGGCAGCCCCCUGGGCUAACACUGACGCUCAGGCACGAAAGCGUGGGGAGCAAACAGG
rnacentral:rRNA from 1 species